rnacentral:rRNA from 1 species
GCAGUCGUACGAGAAAGGGUCCUUCGGGGCCCCGGGUAAAGUGGCGCACGGGUGAGUAACACGUGGGUAACCUACCCUUAGGCGGGGGACAACCUUUCGAAAGAGGGGCUAAUACCGCAUAAGACCACACCUCGCGAGGGGAAGUGGUUAAAGUUGGCCAAUUCAUGAAAGCUGACACCUAAGGAUGGGCCCGCGCCCCAUCAGCUUGUUGGUAGGGUAACGGCCUACCAAGGCUAAGACGGGUAGCUGGUCUGAGAGGACGAUCAGUCACACUGGAACUGAGACACGGUCCAGACUCCUACGGGAGGCAGCAGUGGGGAAUCUUGCGCAAUGGGCGAAAGCCUGACGCAGCGACGCCGCGUGAGUGAUGAAGGCCUUAGGGUUGUAGAGCUCUGUGGAGAGGGACGAAUAAGUGCCGGUUAAUACCCGGUACGAUGACGGUACCUCUUUAGCAAGCACCGGCUAACUCUGUGCCAGCAGCCGCGGUAAGACAGAGGGUGCAAACGUUGUUCGGAAUUACUGGGCGUAAAGCGCGUGUAGGCUGUCGUGCAAGUCGGGCGUGAAAGCCCUGGGCUCAACCCAGGAAGUGCACCCGAAACUGCAAGACUAGAGUUUCGGAGAGGGAGGCGGAAUUCUCGGUGUAGAGGUGAAAUUCGUAGAUAUCGAGAGGAACACCAGUGGCGAAGGCGGCCUCCUGGACGAUGACUGACGCUGAGACGCGAAAGCGUGGGGAGCAAACAGGAUUAGAUACCCUGGUAGUCCACGCCGUAAACGAUGAGUGCUAGAUGUCGCGGGCAUUGACCCCUGCGGUGUCGUA